GUGAAUCAAACAACGUGACCUUCAGUAUGACACUUCAAACAACGUGACCUUCAGUAUGACACUCUCCCAACUGAGCUAUCCCCGCAAUUGGUACAGAACAAAAAACUUUUAACUCUCUUUUGCAGAUGGUUCCACCUGUGCGGUGAACGUGGAUCGAACACGUGACCUUCAGAUCUUCAGUCUGACGCUCUCCCAACUGAGCUAUCCCCGCAACGGGUAAUUUUCUUGUGUAGAAAUGAGUUGACGUGGAAAUUCUAAUAUGAUGUGUGUUAAUGGGUUUAGGGAGAUACAUGAAAAAGAUGAACCACAAGUUAUGUAUGUGACCUUUGCAUGCACACAACAAAAGACUUUUAAAUCUCUUUUGCAUAUGGUUCAUGAAUAUAGAGUGUACACACCAUUUGUGAGGUGAACGUGGAUCGAACACGUGACCUUCAGAUCUUCAGUCUGACGCUCUCCCAACUGAGUUAUCCCCGCAACGGGUACAUAACAAAAGACUUUAACUCUCUUUUGCAGAUG